ACUACGGGAGUCAGCAGUGGGGAAUAUUGCGCAAUGGGCGAAAGCCUGACGCAGCGACGCCGCGUGAGGGAUGAAGGUCUUCGGAUCGUAAACCUCUGUCAGCAGGGAAGAACGGUCACUGUACUAAUCAGCAGUGAAUUGACGGUACCUGCAAAGGAAGCACCGGCUAACGCCGUGCCAGCAGCCGCGGUAAUACGGAGGGUGCGAGCGUUAAUCGGAAUGACUGGGCGUAAAGCGCUCGUGAGCGGUAUGUCAAGUCAAGGGUGAAAUCCCCGCGCUCAACGUGGGAACUGCCUUUGAAGCUGGCAAACUGGAGUGUGUGAGAGGAUAGUGGAAUUCCAGGUGUAGGAGUGAAAUCCGUAGAUAUCUGGAGGAACAUCAGUGGCGAAGGCGACUAUCUGGCACAUAACUGACGCUGAGGAGCGAAAGCGUGGGUAGCAAACAGGAUUAGAUACCCCAGUAGUC
rnacentral:rRNA from 1 species